rnacentral:rRNA from 1 species
AUGCGGUCGAGCGGAACGAUGGAGCUUGCUCCAGGCGUCGAGCGGCGGACGGGUGAGUAAUGCAUAGGAAUCUGCCCGGUAGUGGGGGAUAACCUGGGGAAACCCAGGCUAAUACCGCAUACGUCCUACGGGAGAAAGCAGGGGAUCUUCGGACCUUGCGCUAUCGGAUGAGCCUAUGUCGGAUUAGCUUGUUGGUGAGGUAAUGGCUCACCAAGGCGACGAUCCGUAGCUGGUCUGAGAGGAUGAUCAGCCACAUCGGGACUGAGACACGGCCCGAACUCCUACGGGAGGCAGCAGUGGGGAAUAUUGGACAAUGGGCGAAAGCCUGAUCCAGCCAUGCCGCGUGUGUGAAGAAGGCUUUCGGGUUGUAAAGCACUUUCAGUGAGGAAGAAGGCCUUGGGGCUAAUACCCCCGAGGAAGGACAUCACUCACAGAAGAAGCACCGGCUAACUCCGUGCCAGCAGCCGCGGUAAUACGGAGGGUGCGAGCGUUAAUCGGAAUUACUGGGCGUAAAGCGCGCGUAGGCGGCGUGAUAAGCCGGUUGUGAAAGCCCCGGGCUCAACCUGGGAACGGCAUCCGGAACUGUCAGGCUAGAGUGCAGGAGAGGAAGGUAGAAUUCCCGGUGUAGCGGUGAAAUGCGUAGAGAUCGGGAGGAAUACCAGUGGCGAAGGCGGCCUUCUGGACUGACACUGACGCUGAG